rnacentral:rRNA from 1 species
GACAGAGGGGGCAAGCGUUGCUCGGAAUUACUGGGCGUAAAGGGCGCGUAGGCGGGAUGGCAAGUCGGUCGUGAAAUCCCUCGGCUCAACCGAGGAACGUCGAUCGAUACUGCUGUUCUUGAGGAUUGCAGAGGAGACUGGAAUUCCCGGUGUAGCGGUGAAAUGUGUAGAGAUCGGGAGGAACACCAGUGGCGAAGGCGACUUCCUGGCCUGUUCUUGACGCUGAGGCGCGAAAGCUAGGGUAGCAAACGGG